rnacentral:tRNA from 2 species
GGGCCCAUAGCUCAGCGGUAGAGCGGCCGGCUCAUAACCGGUUGGUCCCUGGUUCGAAUCCGGGUGGGCCCACCA